UUUAAUUCACAAGUAUAAGUCAUAGUGUGUGGCAUGAUGGAAGUGGAACUGACCUUUCCAAAUCUGAGUAUGGCCACGGCAGCAUCUCCACCGUCUCCCUCACACACACAUGCUGAGGCUUAGGUCACUCCACUUGUUUGUUUCUGGUCAAACAUGUGUUGACAAUUGUGUGGAUGCACACCUAGAAUGUUUUGGAAAGAUCUGUGAAAAUA
rnacentral:lncRNA from 1 species